UACGUAGGGGGCUAGCGUUGUCCGGAAUCAUUGGGCGUAAAGAGCGUGUAGGCGGCCCGGUAAGUCCGCUGUGAAAGUCGGGGGCUCAACCCUCGAAUGCCGGUGGAUACUGUCGGGCUAGAGUGCGGAAGAGGCGAGUGGAAUUCCUGGUGUAGCGGUGAAAUGCGCAGAUAUCAGGAGGAACACCGGUGGCGAAGGCGGGUCUCUGGGCCGAUACUGACGCUGAGGAGCGAAAGCUAGGGGAGCAAACGGG
rnacentral:rRNA from 1 species